rnacentral:lncRNA from 1 species
UGACUUUCACGGAGAUUAAGAAAAAGAUAGUAAGUUUAGUUGAAAAGUGUGUAAGGUGGUGGGACCUAUCAAUGUUUAAUAAUGGAUUUGAGAUAGUGAAGGAAAAUAGUGGGUGUAAUAGUGUUUAUAUUAUUAUAUAAUGGAGAUAGUAGAAGAAAGUAGUGGGUGUAAUAGUGUAAAGUAGUGUUCAAAAAUAGUGAGUAUAAUAGGUUCAUUCUUUUUGGGACGUCCCAAAAAAGAAUAAACAUCAUAUAAAAUGGGACAGAGGGAGUAUGAACUAGGAAAUUUGAUCACCAACCUGGACUUUGCUUUGUGAUAGACAUUCAUUCUGAUCCAUUUUAAGAGCUAAAAUUUGCUCUCAACUCCCUGUUACUCUAAUCCAAAGCUAUUGCAAAAUUACGAUACAACUUUGUCAAAGCUUAGAAAAUAUCAGAAGAAGAAGAAUAUAUAUAGUCUAGUCCUGAUUAAUGGGAAGGGGUGCAUCAAUUAUUGUAUGUCACUAGAAACAAAUCAGGUAGUAGUCACUUUAAUCACGUUAUACUUUAAUGAAUAGGCUUGCCACUGAAUAAAGAAAAUUCCAGCUCUCGAUCAGUCUCAAUGUCUCAUCUCACAAACCAACAAAACUUACUCCUCCUACUUGAUAAUACCAUGUGCAUUGAACUUUUCUAUGUCUCCAACAAUUAAAUGGGCCCGCUUUCAUUUCCUGUAUCAUGGUCCUUGUGUGGGGACUUAUUGUAUUCUUCCUGUAAAUUAAUUGUUAAGUUUAGUAGCCAUAAUGGAUUUAUAAUCUUAAACUUAUAACAAAAAACAUAUAUGAAUUCACUUGAUUGGUACACUUCUAGCUUUAGUUAUCAAUAGAGAAAUGGAAAAUGUUCAGUAAAACAUUGAAUGUGCAGUAGUAUCACUACACCAUAGAUGCACUUACGCAACCCCAAAAUUGUGUGUUGCACUGAAAAAUGUUGUAAUAGCUCCAAAAUUUUUAUCUACGGCAACAUUGGUCUUUUGAUGUUGCUGACUUGUAUACACGGCGUUCUCGUAGCUCUAAGAAAUGUUGUAGAUUGCAACACUUAAAAUUUGUUGCCUCAAUAUUCUAAUUAAAUGUAAUUUAAUUAAAAAUUAUAAAGAGAACAAUUAGUGAUCAUAAAAUAAAACAAAGUCCAAAAAAAAAUAAAAUAAAUAUUUUAACGCAAAGUCGGUAUUAAGGCGAGUAAAAUUAUUUUUAUAAAAUUUUGUUAUUUAAAUAAUUUUAAAAUACGUCAUGCUAAUAAAAUUAAAAUGAUAAUUAAUGGAAUAAAAUUUAAAAAUACUAUUUCACACAAAAUUAAACAAAAAUACUUUUUUUAAAAAAUAUAAAUUUAUCAUUAUAUCAAAGUAUAUCAUUUUUGUGGAAAAUUUGUUUUGAAUAAAUAAAUUAGUGAAAAUAUAUAUAAAAAUUAAAAAUGAAAAAAAAAAGAAGAAGAGGUGUUUGGGAGAAGGGAGACAGAUUGCUUUUGGGGUGUUAGAAGCGGGACAAUUUGCCGCCUCUGUCUUGGUGAAAUAAUUGAACUACACAAUACACAUACCUUUCCUCUUACACAAACACAAAACCACAGAAACACAAAACCACAGCUCGCGAUGCACACUGCUCGAGACUAGGGUACGAUUCAAGGUGAAGCUCGAUCGAGAUUAGUGUUGAAGGUGAAGCUCGAGAUUAGGGUUCAAGCUCAAGCUCUUUUCUUCAAUUAGGGUUCUGAUUGGGGUGAAAUCAACUCGGGAUUCUCAAAUCGAGCUGAAAUAUUAGGGCUAUUAUCAGGUAUUAUUCUUUAUUUAACCUCUUCAUUUGCAUCUAUGGAUUUUGAUUUUGUAUCUGUAGAGAUUGAGAUAAUGUAUGUGUUUGCUCUCUCUCUCUCCCUCGCUCUCUCUGGCCCCCUCUCUCUCUCUCCCUCCCUCUCUCUCUCUCUCUCCCUCCCUCUAUCUCUCUCUGUACCUCUCUGUACCUCCCAUCUCUCUCUCUUUCUCCCCCUCCCCAUCUCCUUUCCCUCUCUCUACCUCUCUCUCCCCCUCAUGUCUCACUCAGUCCCUCCCUACCUUUCUCUCCCCCUUCUUCUAUCUCUCUCUGUUUUAAAUCUUUAAUUAAUGGUAUGUAUAAUGUAUGACUAUUUUUGUAUAGUGUAUAAUGGAUGUCUACAUGCUCUCUGUUAAACUGAGUAUAAUAGGUUCAUUCUUUUUGGGACGUCCCAAAAAAGAAUAAACAUCAUAUAAAAUGGGACAGAGGGAGUAUGAACUAGGAAAUUUGAUCACCAACCUGGACUUUGCUUUGUGAUAGACAUUCAUUCUGAUCCAUUUUAAGAGCUAAAAUUUGCUCUCAACUCCCUGUUACUCUAAUCCAAAGCUAUUGCAAAAUUACGAUACAACUUUGUCAAAGCUUAGAAAAUAUCAGAAGAAGAAGAAUAUAUAUAGUCUAGUCCUGAUUAAUGGGAAGGGGUGCAUCAAUUAUUGUAUGUCACUAGAAACAAAUCAGGUAGUAGUCACUUUAAUCACGUUAUACUUUAAUGAAUAGGCUUGCCACUGAAUAAAGAAAAUUCCAGCUCUCGAUCAGUCUCAAUGUCUCAUCUCACAAACCAACAAAACUUACUCCUCCUACUUGAUAAUACCAUGUGCAUUGAACUUUUCUAUGUCUCCAACAAUUAAAUGGGCCCGCUUUCAUUUCCUGUAUCAUGGUCCUUGUGUGGGGACUUAUUGUAUUCUUCCUGUAAAUUAAUUGUUAAGUUUAGUAGCCAUAAUGGAUUUAUAAUCUUAAACUUAUAACAAAAAACAUAUAUGAAUUCACUUGAUUGGUACACUUCUAGCUUUAGUUAUCAAUAGAGAAAUGGAA